rnacentral:rRNA from 1 species
AGGGAAUACGGUUCCAAUUCCGUAACCUAUUGAGUAUACGUUUGUUAUUUGAAAUUCGUUUCGAAUAGCAUCUCGGUAACGAGAAGCUCUCAUAGAGACGUCAAUGGGAGAUAUCGAAAGAGUUUUCUUUUCUGUUUUACAAUCGUACGUACCAUGGAAGUCUUUCAUAGAGAGAUAUGGUAUAACAGAUUGGUAGAGCAUGACAUUAAAUUGUUGUGUCGGUAUACUCUCAUUGGACCUUGAAAAUCUAUGAAAGGGACACGAUAAAUUCUCAAUAGCCUGUACCCGAAUCCGCAGCAGGUCUCCAAGAUUAAGAGUCUCUAGUCGAUAGAACAAUGUAGGUAAGGGAAGUCGGCAAAUUAGAUCCGUAACUUCGGGAUAAGGAUUGGCUCUGAAGACUGUGG